AAACUUCGGUCGAUUUAAUUUAAUUCUAGUGGCGGACGGGUGAGUAACGCGUGGGUAACCUGCCUUAUACAGGGGGAUAACAGUCAGAGAUGGCUGCUAAUACCGCAUAAGCGCACAGAGCUGCAUGGCACAGUGUGAAGAACUCCGGUGGUACAGGAUGGACCCGCGUCUGAUUAGAUAGUUGGUGAGGUAACGGCCCACCAAGUCAACGAUCAGUAGCCGGCCUGAGAGGGUGAACGGCCACAUUGGGACUGAGACACGGCCCAAACUCC
rnacentral:rRNA from 1 species